CUACGGGUUGCAGCAGUGAGGAGUAUUGCACAAUGGGGGGAACCCUGAUGCGGCAACGCCGCGUGGAGGAUGACGCAUUUCGGUGUGUAAACUCCUUUUAUAUGUCAAGAAAAUGACGGUAGCAUAUGAAUAAGCACCGGCUAACUCCGUGCCAGCAGCCGCGGUAAUACGGAGGGUGCAAGCGUUACUCGGAAUCACUGGGCGUAAAGGACGCGUAGGCGGGUUGGAAAGUCAGGUGUGAAAUCCUACAGCUUAACUGUAGAACUGCACUUGAAACUUCUAAUCUAGAGUAUGGGAGGGGGAGAUGGAAUUAGUGGUGUAGGAGUAUAAUCCGUAGAUAUCACUAGGAAUACCUAAAGCGAAGGCGAUCUCCUGGAACAUUACUGACGCUAAGGCGUGAAAGCGUGGGGAGCAAACAGGAUUAGAUACCCGGGUAGUC
rnacentral:rRNA from 1 species